UAUGAGCCGAUGACGUUAUGCUGAGAAAAACUACCAGAUGGAGACAAGAACAGAAUAAAACCAGAAAAACAUCACAGCUGAGUCUGGACAGAACAUCACUCUGACAUGUCGAGCUCCAAACAACAACAUCAUCUUAGGUGUAGAGUGGAGCAGAGCUGACCUGGGAGAUAAAUAUGUGCUUUUUUAUCGGAAUGAGCAGUUUGAUCCUGAUGGUCAGCAUCCGUCUUUUAAGAACCGGGUGGAUCUGCAGGACAGACAGAUGAAGGAUGGAGACGUGUCUUUGAUUCUGAAGGAUGUGACGAUUAAUGACACUGGAACAUACGAGUGUCGUGUCAAGGCAGAAACAAACCGUAGAAAGAGAGCUAUUUUGGAUGUUGAUCCCAUCAGCAUCAUCACACUGAGUGUUGUUGAUCCUCCAGGUCAGACAGGAGGAGACACAGAGGAUGGAGGGAAGGAAGAUGGAGGGAAGGAGGAUGGAGACAUAGAGGAUGGAUCUGUUGGACUGAAAGUUGGUUUAUCAGUUUCUGCUGUGCUUCUUGUUGCUGCUGUUGUUGGUUUUGUGAUCUACAAAAAAUGUAGUCAAUCCAAACAGACAGAAUUCAUGCCAGCAAACCGAUGAUCUACAGCAUGGAAAUGGCUCAGUGACUCAUACAGAGUCAGAGAAGCCUGCAUUGCUAAAUCAAACAGAAGGAUAAUGUGUGACUAAAAAACCAAAAACAAUUAUGUCCAAGUAGAAAACCAGAAGAAUCACAUGUUUCCAAAGAGUUUUUCCAGGAUAGACGAUGGUUUGAUAAAUAAGCUGUGUUUGGGCUGAAAUAACGGAGGAGUGAACAUCAGUUCUCUCAAUAUUUUCACUUUGCCUCAAGACUGAAAAAAGUGAUUAUAAAACCAAGAAGAACAGUUGAGGACAAGGAGCACCAAAUCUGUCCAAGUUAGCUGAUCAUCUCAGUGUAACAUGUUGUGUAUUUUUCAUUUACAUCUUGUUGUUUUGUGGAACGGUUUGAUCAUUUUUUCAAGAAAAGAAAAGAGAGAACUUCUUAAAAUAAGUGAAAUAUAUCAUUUUUUUUCCAGAAGGUGUUCAGUUUGACUCAACUGUCCAAAAAGCUCAACAUCCACUGAUAUAAAAAUAACUGUUUGUUUCCCCCAGUAUUCAUGAAUUCAGUGUCUUAUAUGUUACAGAAUCAGAGUCAUUGAAUGUGUUUAAUCUUCAGGUUCAGCUGUUUGUAAGAUCAAACUUGUUCUGUGAAGUUUGAAGCACACAAUGUAUUGAUCAGUUGUUACAGUAUAAUUAUACUUACUUUCUGAUGGGGCUGGUUACAUAUUUUCUUUAAUGUAUUUUUUAUACUUCAUGUGAGUUCAUUACUAAUGCAACUGCAGCAGAUAGACAAAUGAAAUUAUUUAUUGUUUCGUGUUAGCUUAAAAUAAAACGUUGAGUGGAAAGCUGCAUUGAUGUGCUCUAAACAAAAUUAAAUGAUGUUACUCCUGAACUAGAAUGUGAUUGCAAUGGAGAACAGAGGAAAAAGGUAUGGAAGAGUUUUAGGGCCACAUUAAGAAAAAAAGAUUGUCAAUUUCAAGAAAAAAGUCAAACUUCCUUAGUCUUCAAAAUGACCUGUUCUGAUGACUUAGUGAAAGAAAUUAAUCAGUCAUCUUGUGAUACAACAUAAAUCUGAGAGGAAUUAUGUUCUAUCACAUGUGGGUGUAACCUUCCCCAAGCCUUUAUCUGUCCACUGCUAGCUAUUUCAUUUUAUACAAUUGUUGGUCUGACCACAUCUUUCAACACCAUCUUUUCAAAGUCCUUAUACUGAUCACCACACUGAAAAUGAAGGAAAAAAAAUAAUAAUAAUAAUUUCCUUCAUUUUGAGUAAAACUGAUUCUGAAAUAUGAUUUCACUAACUCAGAGAGUAUAGCAAUCAUAGCAGUUUGUCUUGAAACAACUGUAAUAUUCAUAUUUUGACUUUAAUGUUGAAAUUUUGACUUUAUUCUUUAAAUGUGGCCCUAAUACUCUCCCGUAGGUGGGACCAAGGAAAGCACUCCAACUACACACAAUGGCUUUCACGUUUAUAUUUGUUGUACAUAUUCAGAGUAGUUCCUGUUAACCAAAGAGUGGAUUUGUCAGUCUCUGUGACCUCAUAAUCAAAUCACUGAUUUUCACUGAUGACAUGGUGGAGGAGGUGUCAGGAGCCUCCAAAACUCAAUGAUAGAAAAGUUUGUACCUCUAAGUUUGUUGUUUUUAGAGCCAGAAGUGGCUAAAUUUAGAAGUGUGGGUGAAGUGCUCAUUCAUCCACUAGUGUUGCUAGCUCUGUUCAUCUCUCUGAAAUUAUUUAUCUUCCUCAUCGUCAAAAAUGCAAAAUGUUAAGUUUAUAUGUUGGUUACACAUCAAGUAUGAAUCGAUAAAAUUCUGAAUCUUAUACUGUUUUUACACAUGUUCAGCACCAGCUUUGUUAGCAAGCUGCACGUGAACUGUUUGGGUGCAUCAUACAGACAUACUUCCUCUCAUUUCAGAGUUUGUACAGACUCAGCUUUUCUUUAUAUCUCGUUUUGUACUCUUACAAAGGACCCAUCUCCUAGUACAAAUAAAAAUACAUUAUUAUUGUACUUUGCUAAAAUUGUAAGGUAUCCGUACCUUAUGUGCAUAUUUAUUUUUUUGGCUUUUAUUUUCUACAAUUUAGCAUAAGUAUUUGUACUUUCCUCUCAUUACAGGUUCAAAACAAACUUGUUAAUUUUGUUUUAACACAUUUAAGGUAAGUUAUUAUUUUAGGUCAAUGCUGGCCUUCAAGUAUCAAACUGAUAUGUGCCUAAAGAGGAACACAUAACAGCCAGUCCUAAUUGUGUAUCAGUUACGAGGGGUUAUCGGAUAAAAGGAGAUGAAAGAGAUGAAAGCAGAUUAAUUUUUUUUUUUUUUUUUUUUUUUUGUGGCAAAACUCAAUAAAGAGGGCAGAUGUCCAGACACAGUAGUCGUGAUACUUCACUGCACAGGUCUAGGGAGGAGAACCGGGAUCAUGCCACCG